UGGGGAAUAUUGCACAAUGGGCGAAAGCCUGAUGCAGCAACGCCGCGUGAGGGACGACGGCCUUCGGGUUGUAAACCUCUUUUAGCAAGGGAGAAGCGAAAGUGACGGUACUUGCAGAAAAAGCGCCGGCUAACUACGUGCCAGCAGCCGCGGUAAUACGUAGGGCGCAAGCGUUAUCCGGAAUUAUUGGGCGUAAAGGGCUCGUAGGCGGUUUGUCGCGUCUGCUGUGAAAACCCGAGGCUCAACCUCGGGCCUGCAGUGGGUACGGGCAGACUAGAGUGCGGUAGGGGAGAUUGGAACUCCUGGUGUAGCGGUGGAAUGCGCAGAUAUCAGGAAGAACACCGAUGGCGAAGGCAGAUCUCUGGGCCGUAACUGACGCUGAGGAGCGAAAAGGGUGGGGAGCAAACAGGCUUAGAUACCCUGGUAGUCCACCCCGUAAACGUUGGGAACUAGUUGUGGGGUCCAUUCCACGGAUUCCGUGACGCAGCUAACGCAUUAAGUUCCCCGCCUGGGGAGUACGGCCGCAAGGCUAAAACUCAAAGGAAUUGACGGGGUCAUAGCUGUUUCC
rnacentral:rRNA from 1 species